rnacentral:misc_RNA from 1 species
UUUAUGGAGAAUAUUGGUCCAUUUAUUACCUCCUCCCUUAUUAAGCUGCUUUUGUUUUUUAUCACCUCUAACUUUUUUAUUCCCCAAAAUUUUACUAGUGGAAAAAUCAUGAUCAGCACAACCCCCUUUCUAGGAAAAAGUAAACUUUCCAAUGCUUCCCACAGAGUGACAAGAUAGCCAGGAGUAAAUGAUAGCAUAUUAAGAACAGGCAACGGGCC